CAGUAGCCGCGGUAAUACGUAGGGUGCGAGCGUUAAUCGGAAUUACUGGGCGUAAAGCGUGCGCAGGCGGUUCGUUAAGACAGAUGUGAAAUCCCCGGGCUUAACCUGGGAACUGCAUUUGUGACUGGCGAGCUAGAGUAUGGCAGAGGGGGGUAGAAUUCCACGUGUAGCAGUGAAAUGCGUAGAUAUGCGGAGGAACACCGAUGGCGAAGGCAGCCCCCUGGGCCAAUACUGACGCUCAUGCACGAAAGCGUGGGGAGCAAACAGGAUUAGAUACCCCAGUAGUCCCUGUCUCUUAUAC
rnacentral:rRNA from 1 species